rnacentral:rRNA from 1 species
GGAGUCUGGGCCGUAUCUCAGUCCCAAUGUGGCCGAUCACCCUCUCAGGCCGGCUACCGAUCGUCGCCUUGGUGGGCCGUUGCCCCGCCAACUAGCUAAUCGGACGCAAGCUCAUCCCAUACCGAUAAAUCUCUAGUCAACCACCCAUGCAGGUGGCCACUCUCCUGGACAUUAACCGCGCGUUGGCACGGGUAUUUCCUGAUAUGGGGCAGAUUGCUUACGCGUUACUCACCCGUUCGCCGCUAGGUAUUGCUACCUCGCUCGACUUGCAUGUAUAAGACACGCCACCAGCGUUCGUU